UGGAAUGCGAUCACAUUGUGAGGGCAGUAUACAGAUCGAAUGCUGGCAUCGUGUCGCACAUUACAUUCAUGGCGAGGGAGAAGCCUGGGUGCGAAGAGCUUGUGGAAUACCAAGCCAAAACCAUUUGGAAGGUGUGGAAUAAGGAUGUUACUCAUCUAAUCUUCUGCAGAAAAGCUUCCGAAGCAAAUGAUGCAGCUAACAGACCAAGGAGACAGCGAAAGUACAGAAAAUUCAUCUGUUUGGUUUGAACGACAGAUGGGAUGUUUGCUAGGAUCAAGACUGCUUCGAUGAUGAUGGGUAUUACUAUUAUUAACUUAUGAACUUUUUGUUUUUGUUUUUGUAUCAAGACCUCUUUUGUUUCCGUCUAGAGAUUGUUAAGACCCUCUCUUCUAAUGUCUACAAGAACGUUACAUUUAUCCCUUAGAUUGAUAAAUUGCUCUGUACGUAUCGUUUUUCUUU